GGGAGAGCCGGCCCACUCCCUCACAGGCUGCAGCACUUGGGAGAGUGUGGCCCACACCAUGGCUGGGCAGCAGUGGAGCUGGCUCUGGAGGUGUGGGUGUGGGUGAGCCAGCCCGAGGGCAUGAGACAAGAGAGUUGACCCUGCCUCCUGCUGAGGGUGGCAUUGGGUGGCCAAGCCAGAGCAGGGCUGGAGAGCUUGCCCUGAUGGUGUGAAUAAGGGAGCCGAUGGGCUCGCCAACUUAACUACCACCCUGGCCAGGAUCCCAGGCUCUGAAUUGGCCCAUCCCAAAAUCCCUAUCAUCUGCAAACAGUUGGGCUACCAGAAAGUGCAGUCUUGCAGAUCCAAAGCUGCAGGAUCUCCAGGAUACAGGGCAACAACAGGAGAGGAGUCCCAGGGAGGAUCAGACAUUGACGGUGCCACAGAAGCCAGAGAUCUCAAACAUGAAGAUGUGCGGACAGAGGGAUACACUGCGGGGCACACUGACACACUACAGCUUCCACGGGUCUCAUACAGGGGUGGCGAACAGAAAAAGUUUAAGCCCUGCCCUAAAGACUAGCCCCCCCUCCCAAAUACUCCCAUCCCCCUCUCUGGAGCAGAUGGCCUGGUAAGUUCUGGCAGGCACCUGGGGUUACUCUGUGCUCUCCCUGUACCCACAGCCAGUGCAGGUCUCAGUGUCUCAGCACCCUGUACCCACAGCCAGUGCAGGUCGCAGUGUCUCAGCACCCAGACCAGGCAAUGAGUAUUCCAAAGCCCGGAAUGGAUGCGAUCUACGUCCCUCAUCCGGGCCCCCACUGCCUGGAGGACUGUGUGAAAGAACUUCCCAGCCACCAGACUACUGUGGACCAUGUACCUCAGCCAAGUAAACGGAGACAAAGGGAUAGUUGGUGGGAGAUGGGAUGAAGCCUGAAACCCGGGACCAUCUAUAGGUGUAGCUCUGUUACAGCGCCACCAUGUGGUGAGCUUCAGAGUAAGGAUGGUGUGAGAGGGGUCGGGGUGGGGUGCGGGUGGGGCCUGAAAGCCUGGCCUCUAGGCUGAGGGACCUACCUCUGGGAAGCCCUUUUCAGAUCUUCCUUAACCCAGGUUUCAUGCAGCGGCCCCAGAGGGACUUGAACCCCUGCCCAGCUGGCGGACCUCACUCCAACACUCUCUUAGGACGCAAGCAAGGAAAUUCGGGAAGAACCGCUAUGCCGCAGAGGCCAGUCUGCACAGGGUUGGCAUGAGGCCCUGGCUACUGGCUUUGACUUGAGAAAGAAAGCACAGACCAACAUACACCUGGCACUGCACCCAGUCAGCCAGCCCUGGGGAGCAAUUUGGAUGCACACAUACAAAGGGAAGGUCAUGUGGCAAGAAGGUGGCCAGAGGAGCCAAGGAGGUGCCUCAGAGGGAAACAACCCUGUUGAUCUUGGACUCCAGCCUCUGGGACCAUGUCCCCUUUCUCCAGACAGUGGUCCUCUGUCAUAGCAGUCCUAGGAACCUCAAAGAGAUACCUGAGUGUGGGACUGGCUCCGCCUUCUCCUUCCUGGUCCCUGCCUUCCUCUGCUUACAGGUGUGAUGGCAGCACACCAAUGGAGAACAACUUUGGGACAAAGCCUCCAGUUACCUUGCACUUCAUGGACACUUUGGCUCAUCUAAGCAAUGGGCUCCGUGGGACCCCAGCCACAUACGAUAGACUAAAGAGGUUGUUGUCCUAACAGCCAUGUGGGGACAUUUGGCCCCUGGAUGUAAAUGUUCCUCGGUAGCCAUGGGAUUGUCAGAUAUUCUGGCUGAAGACCAGAGACAGAGCAGCAUUGAAGAGAGGACACAUGACUGGUGAGAAGGGGGCUCUCUGGCUUUGAGUGUCUGUCUGUGCUCUCAGGACAAAUAAGCUGUACAUCACUAUCAAAAGACCACCGUCUGGAGCUGAAGAGAGGGCUCAGUGGUUAAGAACACUUGCUGUUCUUGCAGAGGACCAGAGUUCUGCUCUCAGUACCCACACUGAGUAGCUUGUAAUGCUGAUGCCCUUUUUUGACCUCAGAUGGUCUCAUUCUCUCUCCAUCUCCCCUUCCCUC